UACGGAGGGUGCAAGCGUUAUCCGGAUUCACUGGGUUUAAAGGGUGCGUAGGUGGGCAUGUAAGUGAGUGGUGAAAUCUCCGGGCUUAACCCGGAAACUGCCAUUGAUACUAUAUGUCUUGAAUACCAUGGAGGUGAGCGGAAUAUGUCAUGUAGCGGUGAAAUGCUUAGAUAUGACAUAGAACACCAAUUGCGAAGGCAGCUCACUACGCGGUUAUUGACACUGAGGCACGAAAGCGUGGGGAUCAAACAGG
rnacentral:rRNA from 1 species